GGGCAUCAGACGGCUCCAGCUCAGGGCACUGAAGCAGCCCCUCUCACGCUUUUGUCUCUUGAUCUGAAGUCUUGCAUUGUCUCCGCAUCAAGUCUGCUCUGCCGGCUGGCUGCUUGAGCCUGUCAUCAGUCUAGUGUGCUGCUGGUGAAACCUCGGUGAAGGAAGGAUGCACCCACUGCUGGCUCAGUGGUUGGAGCUGGUGCCGAGGGCUUUAUCUUCCUUUUUUCUGCUCCUCCUCCCACCCCCUAGUCCCCUCCAGCUCCAACCAGGACUUCCGGAGGGGCCCUGGUGCCUCGGGGCCUGAUGCUGUGUGGCUCUGCCUAGAUGUGUGGCAGGGAGAGGAGCGCAGAGGCGGACAGGCUCCACCAGGAUUUAGACUUAGCUGGCUACCUCCUUUCCUGUUCUCUGUUCCUCAGACUCCUCUGUUUCUCCUCUUGGUUUUGCCCAGUUGCGUUGGAUUCAGACUUUUGGGACUCAUCCUAGCUCCUCCCCACAGGAGUAGGCCAACCUGA
rnacentral:lncRNA from 1 species